rnacentral:lncRNA from 1 species
GCAGGUCCUUCAGGAGGUAUUCCAGAAGGCAUUGUUAUCAUAGGAGAUGACAGCUCUGUGCAUGUUUUUGCCCCUGAAGACCUUCCAGUGGGACAAGAUGUGGAGGUGGAAGAUGGGAACAUUGAUGAUCCUGACCCUAUGAAACAGAAAUCUACCUGGAAAACUGUCGCUCACCUAACAGAGUUGAGAAGGAUGUUAUGUCUUAUGUUCUUAAGAGAUGGCGUCUCACCAUGUUGCCCAGGCUACAUGCAAACUCCUGGGCUCAAGCGAUCCUCCUGCCUCAGCCUCCAAAAGCAGCUGGGACUACAGGAAUGUGCCACCAUACCUGUGCUCAAACUUUUUCAAUAACAGUGAUUCUGCAAGAGAAUCCACAAAAUGGACAAGAAUGGCCUUGAAGGAAAUACAGAUCUCAGAAGGGUAUUUUUAACAGAAAUGCCCUUGAAGGAAGCACAUGUCAUUCCUGGGAAAUUUAUGGUUGGCUUCACCACCAGCCUGCUUUAUUCAUUGUGGCUCCCCCUCUUUGCCCCGCCUAAGCCAUUGCUAUGCCUGGUUUCAAGCACGGACUCAGUCAACACUGGGUUCUGAAGAUUUUACUGGGGACGAGGAAGUCCAUGCAUCAACCAUACGCUUCAUUCCAGGAAUGGCCCCCUGAUAUUUCAUGUCUUGAGGCUAGUCAGGUCACUAAAAGGUAAGAACAAUGCCUAUAAACCAAUAACCCAGCCUGAUGUUCUGGAAUUAAGUCACAAUGAGGGACACUUGGACUACUAUGUGCCGAACACCUGUUCUAAGCCAUUCUCAACAUUCCUGAUUAUAAAUGCAACCUCCUAGUGAUUCUGGUUUUACAUCUAUGGGACUGUGUGAUCACAAGAGCAAAAAAGCUCUCAUGUAUCUGAAGACCAGGGUGGCCUAUAAACCUAGAACUAGCUCAGGACAAAGGAGAGAUCUCACCAGCCCAAAGAAAGCACCAGAAGGUCAAAUAGCUGGGAAAACCUGGGCAGGGGAGGCCCUCUCCAGAAAAAGUAGGCUGCUGGACCACACAGCCACAGAGACACAAUGAGAAAACAGACAAGCGCCCUACUCAAGAUCACAAGGACAACAGUUUUUCACUGAGAACUGGGCUAGGAAUAGGAAAAUUGGCAAUAGGCCAGUUGUCCCUAGAAUAAAUCAGGUAAAUUCUGCUCCAGAGAGGGCAGAGCUGGUGGUGCUGUUCUUCAGGGCAGCACAGCCUCUUUCUGCCACACCUUACUCAGCCAGGGCCAAGUUUGUAGACUGCAGCUGCUGGGUCUCCCGGCAGAUGUUCUGCUCCACUGUGCCACACUCAGCUACG